rnacentral:misc_RNA from 1 species
AUUUUCUUUUGUCAAAAAAAAAUAUGAUGCAAUUCAUGAAAAAGGGUUUCUGUGACUUAUGUGCAAUACUAGUUCAGUCUGCGAGGAAUUAUAAAUUAAUGGAGGCAGAAAAGUAAUGGAUGAUAAAACAUAUAGAAGAAAACACAAAAUUUAUGCUUAAUGUAGGUCAGAUGGCUUCAGAACUUCAUGACGGUCAGACGGCUUUGGAACUUCCCGGAGCUGGAUUGAGUUAUCAAAGCAGUGAUAGAAACCGAAAUGUGGGAAUCUCUCGUACCAUGUCUCCUGCGCCACGUGUGUGUCCCAGUGCUCCCCACUGCUGCUCUUUCCAUACUUGUGAACCCAUCCAGAACCAUUAUGGCGCUCACCCCAAGUGCGAUUCCACCGUUCUCCUUGCUUACCUUCCCACCACGUCUCCCCUUGCUUGACACCGCGACCAUUUGGAUCAAAAUGUUCAUCCCAUUUAUCACCCCACUUUGUCCAGCAAUCACCCUCACAUCGCUCAGCCCAUUUGUCAGUGUAUUUUAUGGUGCCACCAUGUCCAUCAUACUUCUCACCCCACCUUUCAUGCCAUACAUGAGCAUGACCAGCCUCAAGCCGUGUGGUUGGGUCAACAGUGCACCACUUAUGUGCCCAUUUCUCAGCUUGGUUGGAGGCAUCAUAAUGUUCCCACCAUUCCUCUUUCCACUCAUCACCUCUUCCAUUCUUCCCCCACUUGUCUGCAGUUUUCUCCAUAUGCAUAAGCCCAGAUUCCUGCCACAUUGAUUCUCUCCAAUACUCACGCCAUACAUUUCCAGUAGCAUCUCUUCCUGAUUUCUCUGAACCAAGUUCCUUAUAACCAAACUCAUCAGAAGCUUCCCAAAACUUCUCUUGCCACUCAACAUCUUGGUCAGCACUAGCCCCCCUGGUCAUAGUCCACCUGCAAAUAACACCAUCAGGUCUUUGCUCAAUUCCUGUCUCCUUCCACCACCUCGAUCCAUUUGGAUCUACUCCAGAAAAUUCAUCAUCAACUUCAUCAAGAACAUAAGCCGCUUCCAGUUCAUGUGCAUGAAAUAAAAGAUUAAGUUCUUGCUCUUCCUCUUUUAGAGAAGGCAUAUCAGGACUAGAUAUGGAGACCUCUUCUUUUUUAACCUCCAUCAGUGAUUGCAAAGGAGGAAUAGGAGGGUUGGAGCUACUCUCUGAGAGUUUACUCUCGAGUGGAAUAUUGAGAAAAUCCAAACAUCGCUCUUUCAUUGCCACAGGGCUUGCCAAAAUAGGAGAUAUCAAAGAUCUUUU